CGUAGGCAAGCAGCGCCCGCUGGCACAGUUCGGAACGCACGCAGUCCUGUUUAUUAAAACGAACCACGCCCACCAUGUCAUCUUCGGUGAAGCGCGCCAGUGCAUCAUUAAGACCGGACUGGACGUGAGCAGGCAAAUCACACUGGGUAAUAUCGCCGUUCACAAUCACCGUCACGUUCUCCCCCAGCCUGGUC
rnacentral:antisense_RNA from 1 species